ensembl:lncRNA
UCCCGUCGUCGUUUCCGCCGUGUUAGCAAAUUGUCCUACAACCCUUCAAAGUCCACGGCGGGCGGACGAUUAGGCAAGGCAGUUAAGGAAGGAUCAGCAGGCAGGAGCAAACACGUAGCGCCUCGGCGAUGUCCGGGCACUGCCUUGCUGGGAACACAGCAGCAACGGGAGGCCCUCACGGGAGUACGCACGUUUCGCCAGUCUUGGCAGGACCGCGGAGCCUCUUUGUAGAAAGCCCAGUGGGAGAAAGAUGAGUUCAAACUGUGGUGCAAAAGCUGACAGAGAAAUGGACUGAUAUCUUUCAUCCAAAGCACCGUAAGGACAGAAAAGAUAAAAAUUGAUGAAGAUCAUGUGAUGUCUGAUUUGGAGGUGUGUGAUGGAUGCCAUCAAGUUUUAAACUUUGGGGAAAUAGUUGGAAUCUCAGGGUUUCCUGUCUGCUGCCCAGUCACAGUUUCCUUUGGAUCAGUCUUUCAUGGAUUGCCAGGAAGAUGGAGGGAAGGAAUGGCGCCCCACCAUGGAAUGACCUGAGUUUUGGCCUCCCUCAGAAUCCACAGGCCAAAACAAACAGCAUUUCAGAAAAGUGUUGCAAGGCGGCUCAGUUUUGA